AAACGAUUUUGCCCCAUUAUCCCCGGACAUCAUGUAUUUCACUGUCUUUCCACAUUGAUGAAACGCAUGGUAAACCCGGUAGCCGGACAGAUAAAUUUCAGGAGCCUCUAU
rnacentral:sRNA from 1 species